UACGAAGGGGGCUAGCGUUGUUCGGAAUUACUGGGCGUAAAGCGCAUGUAGGCGGCGAUUCAAGUCGGGGGUGAAAUCCUGAGGCUCGACCUCAGAACUGCCUUCGAUACUGUAUUGCUGGAGUAUGGAAGAGGUAGGUGGAACUGCGAGUGUAGAGGUGAAAUUCGUAGAUAUUCGCAAGAACACCAGUGGCGAAGGCGGCCUACUGGUCCAUCACUGACGCUGAGAUGCGAAAGCGUGGGGAGCAAACAGG
rnacentral:rRNA from 1 species